rnacentral:tRNA from 1 species
GCCUGGGUGGCUCAGUCGGUUAAGCAUCUGAUUUUGGCUCAGGUCAUGAUCUCACGGUUCGUGAGUUCGAGCCCCACAUUGGGCU